rnacentral:rRNA from 1 species
ACAAAUACCACCCGCCAGGGAAUUACGAACAUUAGUUUAAAACCCAAAGGACUUGGCGGUGCUUCAAACCCACCUAGAGGAGCCUGUCCUAUAACCGAUAAUCCCCGUUUAACCUCACCACUCCUUGCCAACCCAGUUUAUAUACCACCGUCGCCAGCUUACCCCAUGAGGGCAUAACAGUAAGCUAAAUGGGCCCCCACCCAGCACGUCAGGUCGAGGUGUAGCGAACGAAGUGGGAAGAGAUGGGCUACAUUUUCUGAAACAGAAUACUACGAAAGGUGCCAUGAAAUAAAACACAAUUGAAGGUGGAUUUAACAGAAAAAAGACAGUAGAGAACUCUUUUGAAAUUGGCUCUGAAGCGCGUACAUACCGCCCGUCACCCUCCUUUAGCCACAGACAAAAAAUCUAUAAAAACCCAAUUAGCAAAAAAGGA